rnacentral:rRNA from 1 species
AAUAUUUGACAAUGGGCGAAAGACUGAUCUCGCCAUGCCGCGCGUGUGAAGAAGGUCUUCGGAGUGUAAAGAGCUUUACGUUGGGGGGAAGGAAAGUAGGUUAUUACCUUACUGUCUCGCCGUUACCACGAGAAUAAACCCGGGCUAACAUGGUUCCAGCAGCCGCGGUAAUACGUAGGGUGCAAGCGUUAAACGGAAUUACUGGGCGUAAAGCGCGCGUAGGUGGCUUGGUAAGUUGGAAGUGAAAGCCCCGGGCUCAACCUGGGAACUGCUUUCAAAACUGGCAAGCUAGAGUAUGGCAGAGGGUGGUGGAAUUUCCUGUGUAGCGGUGAAAUGCGUAGAUAUAGGAAGGAACACCAGUGGCGAAGGCGACCACCUGGGCUAAUACUGACACUGAGGUGCGAAAGCGUGGGGAGCAAAC